rnacentral:pre_miRNA from 1 species
AAUGGAAUUGCUAGGUCAUAUGGUAAUUUCAUGUUUAACUUUUUGAGAAAGUGCCAAACUGUUUUCCACAGUGACUACACCAUUUUACAUUCCUACCAGCAAU